AACCUCUCAUUCUCACUCUCACUCAACCAUCCCUAACCUCUCACUCUUCCUCUCACUCUUCCUCUCACUCUUCCUCGACCAACACCCGCAGCCCCCUGAGAAGGUCCCAUCUGCCCGCGCUCAAGCUCAAAAUCGCCUUCAACCGCCAGUAUACUACGCCUUCAUCUUGAAACAGAUCUCGUACUGGAGAAGAUGGCUGUCAGGUAUUGAGGUCGAAACGACCGAGCUGGCCACUCGACAGCCACCCGACAGCCGACCGACAGCCACUCUCUGGUCAGUGCGAUAGCUACCCCACUGCUCCUCAAGACUAACAACACCAGAUGACGUCUCUGCUCUUGAGUCACUCGUCUGGUCAGAAACCCUGAGACAGCUAUUCGCUUGAAGUGGCCAUCGAUAAGGUAGUCAAAAACAAUGUGCAGUUGAAGCAGCGCCAUCCAAGCUGAUUUGGACUCCGAUGCCGGAAAGGCCGCUCACAAAAGUUCCUACUAAAGAGGAUUUGGAGCCUGGAUGGAGGAUCGUCGUAGUGGACGACAAGGACGGUUAUGGGAUCGAAGAAGAGCAGAAACUCGAAGGGGAGAAGGAUGGUGACAGCAAGAGUGAUGCCGAGGUUGAGUCCACGAUAGACUACUGUACUCCAAGUUUGAGGCAGACUACCCCAUUCCUCGAAUGACCAACACGGUGGGGAAAGCAGCACCAAGAACCACGAAAUCAAGAUCCACACGUCGAGACCGGCGAUACCAGGGCGCCGUCAGAUGUCCUCAAGAUCGGCCUAGAAAGUACCCUCUGGCUACAAAGGCCUAAUUCAUGUAUUCAUAGCAUUUUCUUGGAGUUAAAGAGAGGAAGAACUCCAUGACCAAUUCGACCACCCCAAUGGUACCAAUUCGAUAAUCCUAACGGUACCAAGGACCUUGCACUUCUCUCUCGUAUGACAACUUCUCCGUCUCCAGCCAUCAGCUCCUCGUACUACAGGAAUCAGGGGAUCAGGGUAGUAGUGUGCUACAGCGAGUGGGCGUCGAUGAGAAACUUCCAUGGUGGGACAUCAAACAGCUGCAGGCCCAUAGUGACCCAGAAGGUGACACGAGGUCAAAUGGCACCGACCACUACGUUAACCAUCAUGUUGUGUCCUGGGUCGAAUUCGAUGAAGGAAAGACACGAAACGCGAGCCAGGAAGAGCUUGACACAGACUGAGGCAAGAAUGAGACGGGGGAUUCUCUGAGGCAAGAAUGAAGCCGGUAUUUUCUCUGAAGUCUCGUCUGUCGGCCGAGAAGUAGUCAAGUUUCCCGGUCACGGGCCGCGGGCAUGGAACAUGGCGCUCCCUAUCCAUGAGUUCAUUCCAUCAGCGCAAAGCCGUUGUAGUGGGGGAUGAGUGAGUCGGGUUUUCUCUGAUUGAGGUACUUGAGGAUCAGGCAGCGCCGUUAAUGAGACAUCAAGUCGUCCGAACCAAAGACUAUCGACACUGAUUCCUGGGAGGCUGGAGAGAUAGACCGGAAAUCACAGCCAACGGUGUCGGCAAGUCUGUCACUGUCAGUUAUAUACUGCCUACAUAAUGUGACUGCUACGAUGACUUAAACCCUGGUCGACUAGUCCCUACUAACGGCAAGAUGUUAUCUUCAAUCUCAGCUUUGGCGAACCCAACAGUGUUUCAACCUCUCCCGAGAGCCAUUGACAGAACCAGAAUGGUUAAUACCACUUGGCGUUGGCGUCGGUACAUUGAAGAUCUCCAUGUGUCGGGGCCGCCCUCGAUGAGAGCGCACUCCACAUGCCAGCCACCUCCUCGGUGGUGGUCAAUGUCUCGGACCUCAGUAUUGCGGCACUUAAACUGGGGCCAUAAUCGACAUGAAAACAAUACCGCCUUUGUUCCCGCUCUACAGCGUUUCUUCAGGGCUCCAGUAAGCAGAGACCUUUCACCAAUCAGUUCUGAAGUAAAUGAUGUAUUCAUUUUGAACUCGCCGAGGGCUAUCGAUCGGUGUAUUUCUCAUGUCUCUUCAACCACUUUAGGGCUCAGAAAUGUGACACUACCUAGCCCUCCAUUUGCGACACCAGAUCGAAGUCAGACCAGAGACUGGCCGCCGCUACUCGUAGAUACUACAGUACUUGUAGUACAUACUCUGAUUGAUCUAACAGAAACCUUCCUGGCGACGGUUCUACAGCUACUCACUCCUCUAAUAUUGUUGGAUUGUGUUUUGAACUAUAUACAGUAUUGUGGUAGUAUAAAUAGAUGCUGAUUUGGACUCUGUUAUGUCCUCCUGGUCCA
rnacentral:misc_RNA from 1 species